GACAGAGGGUGCAAACGUUGUUCGGAAUUACUGGGCGUAAAGCGCGUGUAGGCGGUUCGCUAAGUCGGAUGUGAAAGCCCCGGGCUCAACCCGGGAAGUGCACUCGAUACUGUCGAGCUAGAGUAUCGGAGAGGUUGGUGGAAUUCUCGGUGUAGAGGUGAAAUUCGUAGAUAUCGAGAGGAACACCGGUGGCGAAGGCGGCCAACUGGACGAAUACUGACGCUGAGACUCGAAAGCGUGGGGAGCAAACAGG
rnacentral:rRNA from 1 species